GAUGAACGCUGGCGGCGUGCUUAACACAUGCAAGUCGAGCGAUUCUCUUCGGAGAAGAGCGGCGGACGGGUGAGUAACGCGUGGGUAACCUGCCCUGUACACACGGAUAACAUACCGAAAGGUGUGCUAAUACGAGAUAAUAUACUUUUAUCGCAUGGUAGAAGUAUCAAAGCUUUUGCGGUACAGGAUGGACCCGCGUCUGAUUAGCUAGUUGGUAAGGUAACGGCUUACCAAGGCGACGAUCAGUAGCCGACCUGAGAGGGUGAUCGGCCACAUUGGAACUGAGACACGGUCCAAACUCCUACGGGAGGCAGCAGUGGGGAAUAUUGCACAAUGGGCGAAAGCCUGAUGCAGCAACGCCGCGUGAGCGAUGAAGGCCUUCGGGUCGUAAAGCUCUGUCCUCAAGGAAGAUAAUGACGGUACUUGAGGAGGAAGCCCCGGCUAACUACGUGCCAGCCGCCGCGGUAA
rnacentral:rRNA from 1 species